rnacentral:snRNA from 1 species
GUGCUCACUUUGGCAGCAUAUAUACUAAAAUUGGAACAAUGGAAGAUUAGCAUGGCCCCAGUGCAAGGGUGACACACAAAUUCAUGAAGUGCUCCAUAUUUUU